rnacentral:rRNA from 1 species
GACGAACGCUGGCGGCGUGCUUAACACAUGCGAGUCGAACGGAAAGGCCCUGCUUUUGUGGGGUGCUCGAGUGGCGAACGGGUGAGUAACACGUGAGUAACCUGCCCUUGACUUUGGGAUAACUUCAGGAAACUGGGGCUAAUACCGGAUAUAAGCUCCUGCUGCAUGGUGGGGGUUGGAAAGUUUCGGCGGUUGGGGAUGGACUCGCGGCUUAUCAGCUUGUUGGUGGGGUAGUGGCUUACCAAGGCUUUGACGGGUAGCCGGCCUGAGAGGGUGACCGGCCACAUUGGGACUGAGAUACGGCCCAGACUCCUACGGGAGGCAGCAGUGGGGAAUAUUGCACAAUGGGCGGAAGCCUGAUGCAGCAACGCCGCGUGCGGGAUGACGGCCUUCGGGUUGUAAACCGCUUUCGCCUGUGACGAAGCGUGAGUGACGGUAAUGGGUAAAGAAGCACCGGCUAACUACGUG